GCACCGAAUAUGAGAUCCCAUCAUCUCCCCCGUGUCGAUCCUAUCGGCUAGGGCUUGUUGCACGAGUGCGAGGAGGCCUCUAUCUCUCUGCUGGUGCUGCUUCUCGCUUCUCGCAUUCCUUCUCUCUCGAUCGAUCAUGGCGGAGCAGACGGAGAAGGCAUUCUUGAAACAGCCAAAGGUUUUCCUCUGCUCAAAGAAAGCUGGAAGGGGAAAGAGGCCUGGCAAGGGUGGAAAUCGAUUCUGGAAGAGUAUUGGUCUUGGCUUCAAGACACCCAGAGAGGCCAUCGAAGGUCUGGGCUUUUACAUUUCUUUUUCCCUGUUUUCAGUUGUAUGAGUGUUAGAAGUUUGAUUUCUAUGGCAUGGUUUGCAUGAGAGUAUAUGUAGUUUGCCUGUGGCUAUUGCUUUGUUUCUUUUUGUUUUUACGUUAUGGCAUUUUUUUCUGUGAUGCUUCUAUUCUAUAAUCUUCUCCAUUACUAAGGAUUGACUGAAAACAUACUAUAAACAAGGAAAGGACAGAUUUAUACCAUUUAUUGCUCAACCAAUGUUCCAAUUCCAAUGGCUCUAAUUGCUGUGUGUGUGGACAUUAGAAGCCAUCUGUCUGGUAGUUUUUCUUUGUACCUUAAAAUGAGAUUGAUGAGUUGAAACCUUAGAAUCUCGUUAGGUUCUCAAACUAUACAAAUAAAACACAUGUACAUGUGUACUGAUGGACAAAUUGUACACAAACUAGUUAUAGUUUGUUAUAACUAGUAAAUGAAUUUUAAGGCAACAAUAUCUAUUAUAAUUAGAAUAUACUUAUCUAAAAUGCCACUUAGUAAUAUUUUCGCAAGCGUUUCUAUCUUGUUAAUUUCAGUAAUGUAAGAUGCAGUAUAGCUGCCAUCGAGCUAAUGGGAAGAUUCUCUUGAGUAACCACUUCAUAUGGAGGAAAUAGAAGGUACAUGGCAAUGUUGAAGUCAGUGUUAAAGCUGUGAUUUAUACUCCAUAGAAUGAUAAUUCAUACUUGGGGAUUUAAAUUGACCAUUAGUAUAUGGCAUGACUUGGUGUUGAUUGGUCAAUUCAAGCAGGUCAGAACCUUCAAUGCGGCCGUCAACAUCAGUUAGUUUGAAUAAAAUGUGUCAUACUGGUUAUGGAAUAUAAUUCAUGCUGCUGGAAAUUGAAUAUCUGAUGUACCACUUGACUCAAGAAAAUUCUAGAUAAAGAAGGAAGAAUGUAAGGUCAGAGACUGUGUAUUAUACCCAUAUUUAAGGAUCAAAAAGAACUAGCCAACAAAGAAAUAGUAUAACAAUUGCCAGAAGUUGAAAUUUCAGCUUUUCAGUCAUCUCAUGCUAUAAACCCUCAAAACUACCAGAUGAUAUUUGAAAUAAAGUCUCUGCUUCCAUAUAAAAUAAUGUCAAUUCUCCUCUGAUUUAGGAUAUUGGUGCUCUGUU